AUUGAACGCUGGCGGCAGGCUUAACACAUGCAAGUCGAGCGGGGGAAGGUAGCUUGCUACCGGACCUAGCGGCGGACGGGUGAGUAAUGCUUAGGAAUCUGCCUAUUAGUGGGGGACAACAUCUCGAAAGGGAUGCUAAUACCGCAUACGUCCUACGGGAGAAAGCAGGGGAUCUUCGGACCUUGCGCUAAUAGAUGAGCCUAAGUCGGAUUAGCUAGUUGGUGGGGUAAAGGCCUACCAAGGCGACGAUCUGCAGCGGGUCUGAGAGGAUGAUCCGCAACACUGGGACUGAGACACGGCCCAGACUCCUACGGGAGGCAGCAGUGGGGAAUAUUGGACAAUGGGGGGAACCCUGAUCCAGCCAUGCCGAGUGUGUGAAGAAGGCCUUAUGGUUGUAAAGCACUUUAAGCGAGGAGGAGGCUACUCUAGUUAAUACCUAGGGAUAGUGGACGUUACUCGCAGAAUAAGCACCGGCUAACUCUGUGCCAGCAGCCGCCGUAA
rnacentral:rRNA from 1 species